rnacentral:rRNA from 1 species
UAAGACAGGGGGUGCAAACGUUGCUCGGAAUCACUGGGCGUAAAGCGCACGUAGGCGGUCUCGUAAGUCGGGUGUGAAAUCCCACAGCUUAACUGUGGAACUGCGCCCGAUACUGCGGGGCUUGAGGAUGGGAGGGGAGAGCGGAAUUCCAGGUGGAGCGGUGAAAUGCGUAGAUAUCUGGAGGAACACCGGUGGCGAAAGCGGCUCUCUGGUCCAUUCCUGACGCUGAGGUGCGAAAGCUAGGGGAGCAAACGGGAUUAGAUACCCCGGUAGUCCUAGCUGUAAACGAUGGGCACUAGGUAGAGGGAUACUAUGCGUCUCUCUGCCGGAGCUAACGCGUUAAGUGCCCCGCCUGGGGAGUAUGCUCGCAAGGGUA